AGUUGCAUUUGUGCGCCGCGCUGUCGGUGCACCGCAUCCGCGGUGAUACUGACACGUUUGCGGAGCAUAUCGUCGGUGAGCCGGCGGUAAAACGCCGGUUCAAUAUCAAAAUCCUAUCGCGGUGCUCUUCAGUGAGUGUCGAGAUGGGCCGACAAUUUUACUUUGAACAAAUUAGAGUGCUCAAAGCGGGCUCAAAAUGCUGCUUGAAUAUUUCGUGCAUGGAAUAAUAGAAUAUGAUCUCGGUUCUAUUUUGUUGGUUUUCAGAACUCCGAGGUAAUGAUUAAUAGGGAUAACUGGGGGCAUUCGUAUUGCGACGUUAGAGGUGAAAUUCUUGGAUCGUCGCAAGACGAACAUCAGCGAAAGCAUUUGCCAAAGGUGUUUUCAUCAAUCAAGAACGAAAGUUAGAGGUUCGAAGGCGAUUAGAUACCGCCCUAGUUCUAACCGUAAAUAUGUCAUCUAGCGAUCCGCCGACGUUACUACAAUGGCUCGGCGGGCAGCUUCCGGGAAACCAAAGAUUUUGGACUCCGGGGGGAGUAUGGUUGCAAAGCUGAAACUUAAAGGAAUUGACGGAAGGGCACCACCAGGAGUGGAGCCUGCGGCUUAAUUUGACUCAACACGGGAAAUCUCACCAGGCCCGGACACCGGAAGGAUUGACAGAUUAACAGCUCUUUCUUGAUUCGGUGGGUGGUGGUGCAUGGCCGUUCUUAGUUGGUGGAGCGAUUUGUCUGGUUAAUUCCGGUAACGAACGAGACUCUAGCCUGCUAAAUAGGCGUCGUCAUUUAGGUGUGCGUGUCUUCGGAUGCGCAACUCACUGACGACGUAUUAAAAUUCUUCUUAGAGGGACCGGCGGCUUCGAGCCGCACGAGAUUGAGCAAUAACAGGUCUGUGAUGCCCUUAGAUGUCCUGGGCCGCACGCGCGCUACACUGAAGGAAUCAGCAUGUUCUCCCUGGCCUAGAGGCCCGGGCAACCCGCUGAAACUCCUUCGUGCUGGGGAUUGGGGUUUGCAAUUAUCCCCCAUAAACGAGGAAUUCCUAGUAAGCGCGAGUCAUAAGCUCGCGUUGAUUACGUCCCUGCCCUUUGUACACACCGCCCGUCGCUACUACCGAUUGAAUGAUUUAGUGAGGUCUUCGGACCGACACGCGGUGGCUUCACGGCCGUCGGCGUUGCUGGGAAGUUGACCAAACUUGAUCAUUUAGAGGAAGUAAAAGUCGUAACAAGGUUUCCGUAGGGGAACCUGCGGAAGGAUCAUUAACGUAUU
rnacentral:rRNA from 1 species